rnacentral:rRNA from 1 species
UACGGGGGGGGUAAGCGUUGUUCGGAAUUACUGGGCGUAAAGGGCUCGUAGGCGGCCAACUAAGUCAGACGUGAAAUCCCUCAGCUUAACUGGGGAACUGCGUCUGAUACUGGAUGGUUUGGAUUCGGGAGAGGAAUGCGGAAUUCCAGGUGUAGCGGUGAAAUGCGUAGAUAUCUGGAGGAACACCGGUGGCGAAGGCGGCAUUCUGGACCGACAUUGACGCUGAGGCGCGAAAGCUAGGGUAGCAAACAGG